UGAGGUUUUCUAAAAUAAGGGAAACAAUGUUUCGUGAAAACUUUCCACAGUGAACGAUCUUAAUACCUACCUUUAGGGUAGGUUAGGAUUUGUUGCUGCAGAAAAUUUGCCGUAACUAUGUCUCGCUGCGGUAUGAACUGGAAAAAGGCGCAAAGCACACCAUAAUUCAUAUGCCGUCGUAAAAUCAUCAAUCCAGCCCUCAAGAUCUGGAAUAGGCUGCUAUCAAUUCAAACCUAAAAUCGCGGCAGCAACUGCAAACCGAAUUAAAAGCGGUAAUAAGAAACCGAGCUGAAUACCGCAAUUCCAUUAAUUCCUCGCAACAACAAGUGUUACAUCAAGCCAACACAACAGUAGAAGAGGCCGCAGCAACAACAUCCUAAAUUCAAUAGAAAAAAUCAAUGACGACACUAUCCACAACAGCAACAAAACUUCAAAUUAAUCAGAUACCCAAAUCACAAUUCUGGCUUCACUCAACAAGGUUAAGCCAAGCCAUCAGUGAACAUACAGUUUUUUGAAUUUUCGUCAUUAAGCUUGUCAAACUUGUCAUUCUUUACGUUUUUCUCACUUACUUGCAAUGUGCGUUUGUUCAUAAUCAAAUUGAAUUAAUAAAACACACAAAAUUGAAA